rnacentral:rRNA from 1 species
GACGAACGCUGGCGGCGUGCUUAACACAUGCAAGUCGAACGGAAAGGCCCUGCUUGCGGGGUACUCGAGUGGCGAACGGGUGAGUAACACGUGGGUGAUCUGCCCUGCACUUCGGGAUAAGCCUGGGAGACUGGGUCUAAUACCGAAUAGAAGCCAUUUUUAAUGGCAUGGUUGGAAAGUUUUUUCGGUGGAGGCUGAGCUCGCGGCCUAUCGGCUUGUUGGUGGGGUAAUGGCCUACCAAGGCGGCGACGGGUAGCCGGCCUGAGAGGGUGGACGGCCACACUGGGACUGAGAUACGGCCCAGACUCGGACGGGAGGCAGAAGUGGGGAAUAUUGCACGAUGGGCGCAAGCCUGAUGCAGCGACGCCGCGUGGGGGAUGACGGCCUUCGGGUUGUAAACUCCUUUCGCAAGGGACGAAGCUUUUUGUGACGGUACCUAGAUAAGAAGCACCGGCUAACUACGUG